rnacentral:rRNA from 1 species
GGAUAACUUACCCUUAGGACUGGGAUAACUUUGGGAAACUGAAGAUAAUACCGGAUAUUAAGCUAUGCCUGCAAUGGUUUGCUUAUGAAACGUUUUUCGCCUAAGGAUAGAUCUGCGGCUGAUUAGGUCGUUGGUGGGGUAAAGGCCCACCAAGCCGAUGAUCGGUACGGGUUGUGAGAGCAAGAGCCCGGAGAUGGAACCUGAGACAAGGUUCCAGACCCUACGGGGUGCAGCAGGCGCGAAACCUCCACAAUGUACGAAAGUGCGAUGGGGGGAUCCCAAGUGCUAUUCUUAACAGAAUAGCUUUUCAUUAGUGUAAAAAGCUUUUAGAAUAAGAGCUGGGCAAGACCGGUGCCAGCCGCCGCGGUAAUACCGGCAGCUCAAGUGGUAGCUGUUUUUAUUGGGCCUAAAGCGUUCGUAGCCGGUUUAAUAAGUCUUUGGUGAAAGCUUGUAGCUUAACUAUAAGAAUUGCUGGAGAUACUAUUAGACUUGAAGUCGGGAGAGGUUAGAGGUACUACCGGGGUAGGGGUGAAAUCCUAUAAUCCUGGGAGGACCACCUGUGGCGAAGGCGUCUAACUAGAACGAUCUUGACGGUGAGUAACGAAAGCCAGGGGCGCGAACCGGAUUAGAUACCCGGGUAGUCCUGGCCGUAAACGAUGUGGACUUGGUGUUGGAAUGGCUUCGAGUUGUUCCAGUGCCGAAGGGAAGCUGUUAAGUCCACCGCCUGGGAAGUACGGUCGCAAGACUGAAACUUAA